rnacentral:rRNA from 1 species
GACGAACGCUGGCGGCGUGCUUAACACAUGCAAGUCGAACGGAAAGGCCCUGCUUUUGUGGGGUGCUCGAGUGGCGAACGGGUGAGUAACACGUGAGUAACCUGCCCUUGACUUUGGGAUAACUUCAGGAAACUGGGGCUAAUACCGGAUAGGAGCUCCUGCUGCAUGGUGGGGGUUGGAAAGUUUCGGCGGUCGGGGAUGGACUCGCGGCUUAUCAGCUUGUUGGUGGGGUGGUGGCUUACCAAGGCUUUGACGGGUAGCCGGCCUGAGAGGGUGACCGGCCACAUUGGGACUGAGAUACGGCCCAGACUCCUACGGGAGGCAGCAGUGGGGAAUAUUGCACAAUGGGCGGAAGCCUGAUGCAGCAACGCCGCGUGCGGGAUGACGGCCUUCGGGUUGUAAACCGCUUUCGCCUGUGACGAAGCGUGAGUGACGGUAAUGGGUAAAGAAGCACCGGCUAACUACGUG